UCUCUUGUGGUAUACAGGUUAGAAUGUGGGUCUGAUAAGCCCGAGAAGGAAGUUCGAAUCUUCCCAGGAGAA